rnacentral:rRNA from 1 species
UACGUAGGGGGCAAGCGUUGUCCGGAUUCAUUGGGCGUAAAGAGCGUGUAGGCGGCCAGGUAGGUCGGUUGUGAAAACUGGAGGCUCAACCUUCAGAGGUCGACCGAAACCAUCUGGCUAGAGUCCGGGAGAGGAGAGUGGAAUUCCUGGUGUAGCGGUGAAAUGCGCAGAUAUCAGGAAGAACACACGUGGCGAAAGCGGCUCUCUGGAACGGUACUGACGCUGAGACGCGAAAGCGUGGGGAGCGAACAGG